ACCUGACUUGGCCUGAAGAGACAGACAAUGGCUCUUGCUAGCUAAUUAUUGUCAGAUGGAUCAGCAGCCGACCAACGCUUCUGAAACUAUUGUUUUUGGCAAAUGUUCCUCAACAUUUUCCUGGGAGCUAUGGUGCAUUACUCACGAGUGACAGAACCAACGAGCUUCAUCUCCCAAGAGGCUGGUGCAUCUGUUUAAAGGAGCAGGCGCUAUGCAGAGCAGCCCCCACCCCACCCUCCAUGGCAGAGUGCAGUGGGGGAGGGGAUGGGAUUUCACCAUGUUGUCCAAGCUGGUUUUGAACUCCUGGGCUCAAGAAAUCCA
rnacentral:lncRNA from 1 species